rnacentral:ncRNA from 2 species
GGGUGUACGAUCCGGAGGUCGGAUCGGCAGGUUUCUGCGUUGGUCGGGCCGCCAGCG